UUUAAUAUUCUUGAGAUGGAUAAAGAAAAUCAUCUCUUAAACAUAAAAUAAACUCAAAUUUUCUAAUGACUCUCACUCCAUCCAUAAUUAUCAAUUCAUGCUUAGCUUUUUUUUUUUUUUUGAUGUGAAUUGAGAACCACGAGACAUUUUUAAGAAAUCAAAUUAAAAAUUUUGUUUUGUGAAUCUUGUUAGUUUAGUUUAAAAGAUAAAAUUGAGUAACCAUUUUAUGAGUGGCUUAGACUGCUAACACCUUUCAACCUAAAUCUGAAUUUGACAAAUGUUUUUCUUGGUGACCAAUCACAUCUUAAUAUGAUGUUUUUAAUAUGAUGGUCGGUGGCGACUUCAAACCUAUAAGUAUUAUAAGUUGAUUUUCCUUGAUUAAGGCGGGAAACCUAUUUGACCAAUCACACUUUAGUAUAAUGGUCGGUGACGACUCCAAACUUAUUUAUUUAUUAAAAUUAAAUAAACGAAGAUGUCGGUAGCUCCGCGUCAUAAUCACGUCGCGACAACAAGAUUUAUGAUUGAUUAAAAACAAAGUUCAUGAUUUCAAAAAAUUAUAAAAGAAAAAUUGAAGACGGAAAAAAAAGAACAAAUAUGAAAUAUUUAAAUGACCAGUUUUGAGCUUUUUGAUUUUGUUACCCAGAUCAUAAAUAUUUGAGUGAUUUGUUAUUAUCUACGAAAAUUAACCAAUAUAUAAUUAGCGAAAAAACAUUUUAUAUCUUAAAACUUAAAUUACAUAAUUCAAAAACUAUGUGUAAAUCAGUAAAACAAAUGACCUUUAAGAUAACUGAAUUUGAUGCAACAACAAAAACAAAAAACAAAAAACAAAAAUCGUAAAAAACAAGUACUUUGUAUUUUGAGUAAAAAGAAAUGAAAGGUAUGCAAGUUUAUUUGAAAAUGAAAACAAUGUAUCUACAAAAGUAAAACUUUUUAAAAGUUAAUUUUCUAAUUGACACAAAAAAUUUCGAAUGAACUCAUAUUAAUUCAACAUGCACAAAUAUCAAAUACUCAGUAUUAGAAAAAAUUAAUUCAAAAAGUGAUUUGAAAAACAAAAAAUAAUAAUAUGAUAAGGAAUUGAAUUUGUUAUAUGAUGAUAUGUAUAAAAUAACAAAGAAAGAAGUCAAAAUUAUUUAAUCAAAUGUAAAGUAAUAAAAACCAAAUAAGAUAAACAAAAACAAAUGUAUAUGAAACCAAUAAUUUAAAAUAUGAAAAUAGAGAAAAAUUGGGGUUCUUUAUCUCUUAGGUUGAAAUCUCAAAACCAACUUUAUGCAAUAAUUCAACUACUUUAUUCCUAGAUUCUGUUAAGUUUGAAUCAUUCAUGUUUGGAAUUACACAAUAUUUAAUACAUGAUUUAUGAGGGCAAAAACCAGUUCUUUUUUUUAGUAAAAAUAUGGCGUACACUUUUGUCAAAAAGAAAAAUAAACUUAUUAAUCUAAUUUUUCUUUUUGGAGACAGAAAGGCAAAUGCUCCUCUAGGUUUUGCCAUUCCAAAAAAGUAACAUUUAUUAUGGUACACAAUAUAACUCAUUACCUUUUAUUCUAUUUACCAUAAACCAAUUACCUUAAUAUGUUACCCACUCACAAUUGAGUCUAACUUUUUUUUUUUUUUUUUUCUUUUAAAUUAAAGUUUGUAGCCUCUUGACGCUCUUGAUAUAAAUGAAAGUAAUUGUUUGUUAUGGGUGAUCGAUGUUAAAAUUCGUUUAGAUGCCAUAUCUAGUUAAGGAAUGGCAAAGACUAUGGUUUUUCAAAUGAUCGACAAAUAUCAUGAUUUUUUUUUGACAUCUUCACAAGGGAUUAAAGGUUGAAUAUUUUACGGUAAAAGAUCCCUAUAAUCGAUGACAAAGUUUGAAAGAAAUGUAUGAUCAUAAAAAAAAAAAAACAAUAAUGAAGGGAUAAAAGCUCUGGCAACGGAAUAUUUAAUAUAGACCGCAAGGAGGUGCGCAAGAUUUGUACUAAAAUUUUGAAAACUUUUCGAAGAACCUCACAAGGCAAGCAAAAGUAAAGCGUUUUAAACUAAGCCAAAAGCAAAAUAAUUGUUGUAAAUUUAGUAAUCUAGGAUUAAAUUAAUCUUAACUUGACAUCAAUGCCUUGAUACUUGGAGAAGGAAAAAAAUACUUAGUGAGUGAGGUUUUAGAAAUCCUUCAUGGAGAAUACAAUACAAUCAAGUAAAUUCAUUUUCUAUAAAUAGGCUCAUAACACCUCAUUUAAAACAUAUAAAACACUAAUUAGCCUCUAUUUAUUCAUUUCACCGAGAACAUGAACCAUUCAUAGCAUAGACUAAUGUAAUUUCUCAUAUCACCGACAUUCCUUAGAGAAUUUCUUGAUUCAUUUCCCAUUUCUGAAAGGUGCUAACUCAAUAUGCUCAUUCUAACGCAUUAACUAGAUUUUUACUAUCAUGUGGUCAUUUCACCCCAUAGUUGUCUUGACUCAUUAUGUGCACAUAAUAACUAGUUUAUGAUAGGAAUAUAGCUAAUGGUUUACUCGCAUACAUAACAUACAAUCAUCACAUACAAACUUUAUCUCAUAAACUUUCUUUUUAAAUAAACAAGCUAUUUAAUCAACAUCAACCACAUCACAUGAACAUUUCAUUACAACAUAAAGACUAAGAACCAAUGCUUUUAGAACACUGGCACUCACAAACAAAAAUUGCUAAAGUUGUAUUUUUACAAAAUUCAUCAAAGCUCAGUUGAAAUUGUGAAAUUAGAUUAUGAAUAAAAGAAAGAAUGAUAGUAAAGAAUAAACAAAAUGUUUAAAACGAUGACUUUUCUUUUGUUUAUAGUGAAAAGAUGAGAAGCUAAAUAUUCCCGUUUUAUCACCCUUUUCUUUUUCCGUCUGUUUCCAUAUCGUCGAAGCCAAACCCAGCGGACAAAAGAACACAGUGAGAGAAAGAAAAAGGAGAGUGUAGCAGCCGACGAAAACACACAGAGAGAGAAAUUAGCCCAGCGAUUUGCGGCGUUCCUGCGUUCGUUGGAGUCGGGUAUCCAACGGUAUAGCCGCGGGCAGGAUAGGACGUUUUCGAGCCGCGCUUCCGGCGAGUUUCACGGUGAGUUUCAAGAUACAAUUACAGCUUGGUUGUAAUCAUAACAAGUGGUAUCAGAUACCACUUCUAUUCAUAACAAGUGGUAUAGAGCAUGGUAUAGUUAUAACAAGCGAACGCCGAAAAAUUUUACAGUUCUAUUUGCCAUCCAUAGUUUUCUUUUCCCUACUUACGGCUAAAAACCAGUGGACUAAUCCACUGGAUUGUGAAAAAAAUUUGAAUUUCUUCCAUGGGCGACCCAACCGGUUCGAAGCUCGGUUUUGUAUAUUUUAUUACUUUCUCUUUCUUAUUUUGUGCGCCUUUUCACUUUGAGGUCGUUUUCAUAUUGGUGUGUCGCCUUCUCUGAAGCGUCAUUGAUUUUUUCAAUUAAUAGGGAUAAAGAAAUUUGCACACGAUUCUUAGCUUUAAUUUUAACUCCAUUUCCUGAACUUUUUGCUUUGUCUCUGCAUUUUUUAGGGUUGAUUUUGGAAGAAGAAAGCUGUAGAGAGUUAUGUCUUGCAGCACUUUUAACCUUGGAGGAGGGUCGCUCAAGUUUUGUAGCAUUAAUAAAGGCAGCCAAAUAAAGAAUCAUCUUCGGUUCUUUAAUGGGUUUGUCUCAAAUGGUCGAUGCAAUUUAGUCUCUAACUCUGCAAUUUCUUUCUCUGUUGGAUCCAUCAGCUUCAAUUCUCUUCCACCUCAGGAUUUUCAAUUUCACAAUCGUUCACGUUUCUCCUCCCAUGUCAUCAACUGCUCUACUUUUAACUCAGAGGCGUCAAUCUCUUCUAAUAAAGCAAAUGGUAAUUUGGGGUCUUUGGAAAAGUUGGUCAUGUUCGGAUGAUUUUGAUGUUUGUUGUGGAAACUGAUAUUUGAACCUUCUUUCUUGGUUAACUAAUACUUGCAGAUGAACGAGUUAUUGUAUUGGUGAUUGGUGGAGGAGGGCGAGAACAUGCGCUUUGCUAUGCAUUGCAGCGCUCUCCUUCCUGUGAUGCUGUGUUUUGUGCGCCAGGCAAUGCUGGGAUUUCGAGCUCAGGCAACGCCACUUGUAUUUCUGAGCUUGAUAUCAAUGAUAGUGCCGCUGUCAUUUCUUUCUGUCGAAAAUGGAAUGUAGGAUUGGUUGUUAUAGGCCCUGAGGCCCCUCUUGUUGCAGGGCUUGCAAAUGAUUUAGUUAAGGCUGGGAUUGCUACUUUUGGCCCCUCAUCUGAGGCUGCUGCUUUGGAAGGCUCCAAAAAUUUCAUGAAGAGAUUGUGUGAUAAAUAUGGAAUCCCCACUGCAAAGGUUUGUUUGGAUCUUAGCUCCGUACUCUUUGAACUUGUUUGAUUAGUUCCUAGCGAAGUUUAUGCCUGCAGAUUUUUCACUAUUUGUUUACACAUCCAAACUUUGGUACACCAAUCACUUUCAAAAUGAGUUUUCAUUAGUAUGCAUCAUGCUCACCAACACUGUCAUAUAAACUGAAAUUUAUUUCAUAUCUCCUUGGACUGCAUUGGGGUUUGGAUAAUCUCGCGGGAUUGAUUGAUCUACUCAUCCCAUCAAGGGAUGAGUUAGACACUUCUGCCCACUACGAAAAGAAAUAAGUACGUCAAGAAAACUUUUGAGUGCAAUGUUUGAUCGUCGCAUUGCAAUAUAGAGUUGGAAGUUUCAAAGGCUUCAGGAAACAUUAAUGAAUUGAAUACCUUUUCUUUGUGUACCUUUCUCUUAUGUCUUUGCUUAGAUCUGACUAUCCUUUGCCUUUGCCACAUGGAUUACUUGUCACAGUAUCAAUCAUUUACAGACCCUUCUGCAGCAAAACAAUAUAUUCAAGAACAAAGUGUUCCGAUAGUCAUCAAAGCAGAUGGAUUGGCUGCUGGAAAAGGAGUUAUUGUUGCUACGACGUUGGAGGAGGCCUAUGAAGCUGUUGAUGCAAUGCUUGUGAAGGGUGCUUUUGGUUCAGCUGGUGGCCGUGUCAUUGUUGAAGAAUAUCUGGAAGGGGAAGAAGCAUCCUUUUUUGCACUUGUAGAUGGAGAGAAUGCUAUACCCUUAGAAUCUGCACAGGAUCAUAAAAGAGUUGGGGACGGUGACACGGGACCUAAUACAGGUGGUAUGGGUGCUUACUCCCCAGCUCCUGUCAUAACAAGGGAACUUCAAAGUAUAAUCAUGGAAUCUAUAAUUCUACCCACGGUAAAAGGAAUGGCAGAAGAGGGUUGCAAGUUUGUUGGGGUUUUGUUUGCUGGUCUUAUGAUAGAGAAGAAAUCUGGCUUGCCAAAAUUGAUUGAAUACAAUGUACGCUUUGGAGAUCCCGAGUGUCAGGUUAGUUGACUGAGCUAAAAUGUUUUUGCUUGUAAUUUUACCAUGUGCACCUGCAGAUAUAGAAGGAGUUGGUUGUUACUCUAUGGAGCAUUGGAAGUUAUCAAAUGACUGAACUUUUGUGAUCAAUAAUCGAUAUGUCACACUUGAAUUUGACACCAUAUAGUAUAGGUGCUUUCAUUGUAGCUAAAAGUACAAAAUAAUGCGCUUCUUUUGAUAAAGAUGUAAUUAUGAAGGAAAUUAAACAAAGGGCAACUUGUGGCUAAGUUUUCUAGGCCUAUGUGUCUAGUUUCUUUUCUUCAUUGUUCGCUAGGUUUUACUUCUCUUGAUGAGGAUUUCUUGUUGUUUGACUCUUUCACGACCCUUUUUCUUGACAUGUUACUGAUCAUAAACCUCUGGCUUCGAUGAAAAACAGGUGCUGAUGAUUAGGUUGGAAUCAGACCUUGCAAAAGUUCUUAUGGCAACAUGUAGAGGAGAGCUAAGUGGGGUUUCACUGGAUUGGUCCCCAGGGUCUUCAAUGGUGGUCGUAAUGGCGAGCAAGGGAUAUCCUGGGGCAU
rnacentral:lncRNA from 1 species